rnacentral:tRNA from 1 species
GACGGCAUAGUUCAGCCUGGUAGAACGCAGGUUUCAUAAGCCUGAUGUCGGCGGUUCAAAUCCGCCUGCCGUCA